rnacentral:sRNA from 2 species
UACCUUACUGGGUGAUUGUCGCACCAUCAGCCCUGAGGAGUCGCUUUAUAUGAAGCACUUCAACGAUACAUCGCCUUCGAAAUUUGGGGACUACCUGUCAUCUGGGAGGAUGUUAACGGGGUUUUUUGGGCAAUGAUUUACCUCUUAUGGCUCCGACACGUUCAAAUUCCAUGGUGAUCCGAAAUCCUGUGCAUUUACGCCCCCCGCCCCCUCAUUCCCAACCCAGAAUACCGAAGCCAGGCGAACAUGAGGGACACAUGGGCAAAAUCGAUUUGUUUGCCUCUUUGUGUUUUUUUCUUUGUCGCUCUAUGUGAUCGUUUAAUUUGUAUUCACUAUGUAUUUGUAUGUCUGUUUUAAUAUUCGCCCCUAUCUCAAAUUAUCAACAAUCGGAGAAUAUAUCCCCCACCACACACCCCCUUUUCUUUUUGGCUCAUUGGUUAUUAUUUCACAUGCUACAAUACCCACGUUCAUAUUGAAUGUUGAAUAUAUAUAUCAUUGGAAUUUGAUAGAGUCGAACUGUUCUUCAAUAUAUAGUUUUCAAUCAGACCGGACU